CAUAGCCAUAAGAAGUGUCCUGCCUGCAUGGAUAUCUCUCCAUACCAUCUCAACUGAAAACAACAACAGCCAUGACAACAGCAUGACAAAAUGUAGGCCUGUGACUCUAAUACUGUCAUAUUUGUCUUUCUCUUUCGUGAUUUAUAUCACCUUUGCCCGAUGAAGAAGCCAGUGGAGCUUCAAAAUCUUACAGCAUAUAUUUGGUGGAUUCUGGUUGGCCCAAUAAAGAAAGGCUCAAGGAACUGUGAAGUCAAGGAACUGUGAAUUAAGCUUUAACACCAAACCAGUACUAUUACUUCCCAGUCUUCGGAAUGAUCCAAGAGCAUUCUUCUGAAGGCAAGAGGGCAGACAGCAGCCCCCUAAUGUUCUUUGCAAAGUGCCUCCCUCUGGCCAACAGACAGAUACCAGUUGCUGUGGAGGGAAGAUGCCAAAGAAGACCAGGACCAGAAAAUGGAAGAAAAGGCCACAACUUUAUUAAGCAAACAGCAACAAAG